rnacentral:rRNA from 1 species
CAAGUCGGGCGGUAACAGGGAGAAGCUUGCUUCUCUGCUGACGAGCGGCGGACGGGUGAGUAAUGUAUGGGGAUCUGCCUGAUGGCGGGGGAUAACUACUGGAAACGGUAGCUAAUACCGCAUAAUGUCUACGGACCAAAGCGGGGGACCUCCGGGCCUCGCGCCAUCAGAUGAACCCAUAUGGGAUUAGCUUGUAGGUGAGGUAACGGCUCACCUAGGCGACGAUCCCUAGCUGGUCUGAGAGGAUGAUCAGCCACACUGGGACUGAGACACGGCCCAGACUCCUACGGGAGGCAGCAGUGGGGAAUAUUGCACAAUGGGCGCAAGCCUGAUGCAGCCAUGCCGCGUGUAUGAAGAAGGCCUUCGGGUUGUAAAGUACUUUCAGUCGGGAGGAAGGUGGUAAGGUUAAUAACCUUAUCAAUUGACGUUACCGACAGAAGAAGCACCGGCUAACUCCGUGCCAGCAGCCGCGAUAAUACGGAGGGUGCAAGCGUUAAUCGGAAUUACUGGGCGUAAAGCGCACGCAGGCGGUUGAUUGAGUCAGAUGUGAAAUCCCCGGGCUUAACCCGGGAAUUGCAUCUGAUACUGGUCAGCUAGAGUCUUGUAGAGGGGGGUAGAAUUCCAUGUGUAGCCGGUGAAAUGCGUA